rnacentral:sRNA from 1 species
UGAGACUUAGAUCGCGUAGUGGGUGAUGUGAACGACGUCCUCGGGCCUUGACGGCGGGUGGGUCUUGUUCCUCAUCCGCAGCUGCUGGUACUCGCUGUACAGGAACCUCCUGUACCGCGGCGCCUCCCCGAUCUUCUCCGUGUACUCCGGCAGCGGCUCAACCCAUCUGUCGCCGUGAACGUUGAAGAAGAAGACCAGCGAGUGCCUGUGCACCGCCGGCUUCCUCACCACCCGUAGUGUUGUGCAGUCACCUGUAUGACGUCGCCGAUGUUGACGAUGAUGCUGCCCUCGACGGGGUCGACGGGGACCCAGGCGCCAUCCUUGAGGACCUCGAGGCCGCCAACGCCGUCCUGGAGAACGAAGGUGAUGCAGUUGCCGUCCUCGUGCUCGCUGACGCCGUUGUUCUCCUCCGCCGUCGCCGGGGAGUAGCGCAGCGCCGCAAUGAAGUCGAAGCUGCGGUCGCCGUUGUACUCCUUGAGGAAGCCCGGCGGGAGGCCCAUGCACUUGUUCAGGAUCUCCUGGAUGAGCACGCCCAGCUCCGUGAGCUUGCCGUACAACUCAUAUAAUGCCUCCCUGAUGA